rnacentral:rRNA from 1 species
AAUACAUAUAUAUACGGGUUAGAGCCGGGUUGGUUAGGCGCCUCAUUUGGGUUGAGGAAUAGUUAUGUUCGAGUCAUAAUAACCCGAGAUAGAAUAUUAGUAGUAAAGGUGUAUAUAAAAGCAAAUAGUUAUGUAUUUGAUAUGUAAUGUAUUAUUUCAUACUUUAAAUGUCUUAACUCUUUAGAUAGAUUUAAAAAAUAAAGUAUGGUAAGUAUAUAAAGAGAUUAUUAAGGAUAAUUAGCUGUAUAUUGAGGAGUUGACGAAUUGAACCUUUUAGAUUCAAAUUGGAGAUAGCUGGUUCAUACACUCCUGGAAAAAAUUCUAUAUCUAAACGAAGCGAAUUGAAAUAUCUUAAUAGCUUCAGGAAAGGAAAUCAAAUGAGAUUCUAUGAGUAGUGUGAAUGAAAGUAGAUAUGCCUAUAUGAGUAAAAUGGAUUUAUCUGUUUGAAUAAAGGGGAACCUUCCUCUAAGGCUAAGUACGGUAUACAAGCGAUAGAGAAAGUACCGUGAGGGAAAAACUUUGAAUUAGUAGUCUUAUAAGCAGCUCAAGUUAAGUUGAAUAAAACUAUAAGAGCGUACCUUUUGUAUAAUGGGUCAGCAAGUUCUAACUAGAUGCGAGCAGUGAUGCCCAGAUAACCCAAUUAUUAAGUAAUGAAUAAGUAUCUAAGUAGAGACCCGAAGAGUAGUGAUCUUGCCAUGGUCAGGCUUAUAAAAGGCCGAAUGGGUUAUCGUUGCAAAGAUAUCCAAAGAACUGUGGUAAGUAGGUGAAAGAUAAAACUGACUACUAUAGCUGGUUUUCCGCGAAACAUAUGUAAGUAUGUGGUUUUUUACAACAUCAUAACAGGUACAGUAUUGUGAUCUCGGGCAAAUUGUGCAUUAUUUUAUAAUGUCUUUUUGUGCACAUGGGGGAGUCGUCGAAAACUCUAUUCGCGAGUAUUUGCUCUCGGAAGGGACAUGAUGAAUGUAAGGCUAUCAGACAUUGAACGCUAAGGUUGUAUGUCAAAAGGGAAACAGCCCAGAACAAGUGUUAAGGUUCCAAAGUUAUUGUUAAGUGAAAGUAAGGUAGUUUUUAAACUAUACAACCAGGAAAUGGGCUUAGUAGCGGCCAUUUUUUAAAGACCUCGUAACAGAGCACUGGUUCAAUAGGUUAAUCUUACGUUAACCUAUCAUUUUAGUUAAAAGCGCCGAAGAUUUAGCGGAUCUAAACAAUGCACCGACACCUUGUCCAUAAAAAAAACAUAUUUAGAUAUUGUAUAAAAUUUAUCAAAUAUACACACUUAGGAUAUAUAUGUGAAAAAAUAUCUAAGGUUAAUUUAUGGGGUAGCGGAACAUUGGGUAAAUCUAUGAAUUAAUCUUUUUUAAUGUUAAUUUUUUGAUAUCCCAAGGGAUAAUGCUGACACGAGUAACGAAAAAGGAUUACAUCUUUUAAGGGUGUAAUAAGUUUAUCUUUCAAGUUAAUCUUAUUUUUCCACAAAAGAUGGCCUCGCCUUAAGCUUAUGGCAGUACAAAACGGCCUCUAAGUUUAACCCAAAGGAUAAAACGAUGAGACUCUCUAUAUGUAACAACAUUAAAUAAAUGGUUAGUGUUCUGGAAAAAGCAUGUAGAGCAAUAAUAUUAGGGAAUAAACUGAAACAGAUGAUACUGAUUUAUUGAACAGGUAUAUUAGAAAAUAAACUAAAACAGAUGAUUCUAUAUAUAUCCUGUUUACCGUACCUAGAAUCUGACACAAGUAAGCUAGUAGAGAAUACGAAGGCGCUUGAGAUAACAAUCAUUAAGGAACUCGGCAAACUGACACCGUAACUGAGGGAUAAGGUGUGCCGUACCACUGAGUUGUAUCAGUUGGGAGAGGAGACAGAGAGUGAUGUUGCACGACUGUUUAAUUAAAACACAGCACUUUGCGUAAGAUGUAAAUCAAUGUAUAGAGUGUGCUAUCUGCCCGAUGAUGGCUGGUUAACGGAUCUCACUUGGAUGUAUGUCUGGGGGUUGAAGGAACCCCCAUUUUAAUGGCGGCCUUACCUAUGAGGGUCCUAAGGUAGCGAAAUACCUUGGCAUUUAAAUGAUGUCGCGCAUGAAUGAUCUAACGAUGCAACAGCUGUCUCAAUGAUUGGCUCAGUGAAACUGGAAUGGCAGUGAAGAUACUGUCUACCUCUAGAUAGACGAGAGUGCGACUAGCAAAGCACUUAAUAGCAAUGUGGUGAGAACCCACCAGAUAAUCCAUUGUCUGAGCUCACACGGCAUGCAUUAAAAGUAAUUUUUUUGUGUGAAGCCCGUUAAUUAAGUUAAAAACUGUCCUGCCUAAUCCCCCCUUUUUAUUGAAAAAAAAGGGAGUUAAUUAGGGAGGUGAGCUAUAUUACUAAGGAUAAGAUUUCUGAAUUCACGUUUGAGGCGUACUAGAGGGUAGUUAUUAUAGAAUGAAAAAAAAGAUGAAAGAUAACUACUGUUGAUUGAAUAGCCAUAUUUCGCAUGUCUAUUAAUGGAUCUUAUGUCAACAUACGUAUAGUGGAAUCCUAAGGUAAUAAUUAAAGUGCUAUUAAGUGAACUAGGUAAGCCCAAUAAUGCCCUCGGCCUCUUCCC